GGGUUUGGAUUGCGAUGGCUGCCUUCAGUGCUGGCUCUUAUGAGCAUGUGCACGUUGGUGGCUUUCAUCCAAUACCCAUGUGAACCUUUGGCCUCUUGCUAGCUUUGGCUGGCAGAGGAUUUUUAUACACACACUCGAAUGUAAUGAAAACUAUUGUCGUGCGCAAGCACUAAUGUACAACUUUCAACAACGGAUCUCUUGGCUCUCGCAUCGAUGAAGAACGCAGCGAAAUGCGAUAAGUAAUGUGAAUUGCAGAAUUCAGUGAAUCAUCGAAUCUUUGAACGCACCUUGCACCCUUUGGCAUUCCGAAGGGUAUGCUCGUUUGAGUGUCAUUGUACUCUCACACUCUCUGAUCCUUUGGAUUCAGGGAGCGGUGGACUUGGGUGUUUGCCGCUUUCCUUGUGGCUCACCUCAAAUGUGUUAGUGCACCUCUUGGUUGGACAUAGAACGGCGUGAUAAGUGUCUUCGCCGGCACCUCGCAAGAGGGUGGCCAAUUGGGAGCUCUGUGCUUUCAAACCGUCUUCGGA
rnacentral:rRNA from 1 species